CUCUUACGCUGAGUUAGUGAUCGGCGUGGGGGUGAAAUACAUUAAUUUUGGAGAAAAGACUAUGUCACUAAGCGUAGAAGCUAAGGCUAAGAUCGUUGCUGAGUUCGGCCGCGGUGAG
rfam:Ferrimonas marina strain DSM 16917 genome assembly, contig: EK02DRAFT_scaffold00004.4